rnacentral:other from 1 species
AAUCCCCUGCGGUGUUCGUCAGGGCCUUAAAUUCUUUGAACCAAUAGUUGCUCUGGUUGCGGCCUUAAGCAGCGCUGUUGUGCGCAUCCUUCUUCGGAAGCGCCUGAUGCGCUCGGUAAGCGACCACCUUGAACCAGCGGUUCAAGAUGCCGGCCCAACGGCAUCUGCGGGGGACCA